UACGUAGGGCGCGAGCGUUGUUCGGAAUUACUGGGCGUAAAGCGCGCGCAGGCGGUUCGUUAAGUUGGAUGUGAAAGACGCGGGCUUAACCCUUGCAUGCCAUUCGAUACUGGGAGUCUAGAGUAAGUGAGAGGGGAGUGGAACUCCCGGUGUAGCGGUGAAAUGCGUAGAUAUCGGGAGGAACACCGGUGGCGAAGGCGGCUCCCUGGCAAUAUACUGACGCUCAUGCGCGAAAGCGUGGGCAGCGAACAGG
rnacentral:rRNA from 1 species